GACGAACGCUGGCGGCGUGCUUAACACAUGCAAGUCGAACGGAAAGGCCCUGCUUUUGUGGGGUGCUCGAGUGGCGAACGGGUGAGUAACACGUGAGUAACCUGCCCUUGACUUUGGGAUAACUUCAGGAAACUGGGGCUAAUACCGGAUAGGAGCUCCUGCUGCAUGGUGGGGGUUGGAAAGUUUCGGCGGUGGGGGAUGGACUCGCGGCUUAUCAGCUUGUUGGUGGGGUAGUGGCUUACCAAGGCUUUGACGGGUAGCCGGCCUGAGAGGGUGACCGGCCACAUUGGGACUGAGAUACGGCCCAGACUCCUACGGGAGGCAGCAGUGGGGAAUAUUGCACAAUGGGCCGAAGCCUGAUGCAGCAGCGCCGCGUGCGGGAUGACGGCCUUCGGGUUGUAAACCGCUUUCGCCUGUGACGAAGCGUGAGUGACGGUAAUGGGUAAAGAAGCACCGGCUAACUACGUG
rnacentral:rRNA from 1 species